rnacentral:rRNA from 1 species
AGAGUUUGAUCAUGGCUCAGGAUGAACGCUGGCGAGAUGCUUACACAUGCAAGUCAUACGAGAAUUUUUAAUUCAAGUGGCGGACGGGUGAGUAACACGUAAGAAUUUGCCUUUAGGAGGGGGACAACAACUGGAAACGGUUGCUAAUACCCCAUAUGCUUUCGAGUGAAACGGAAUUUUCCGCCUAAAGAGAAGCUUGCGGCUGAUUAGCUUGUUGGUGAGGUAAUGGCUUACCAAGCGACGAUCAGUAUCUGGUUUGAGAGGAUGAUCAGACACACUGGAACUGAGACACGGUCCAGACUCCUACGGGAGGCAGCAGUGGGGAAUUUUCCGCAAUGGGCGAAAGCCUGACGGAGCAAUCUCGCGUGAGGGAUGACGGCCUAUGGGUUGUAAACCUCUUUUUUCAGGGAGGAAUAAAUGACGUGUACCUGAAGAAUAAGCAUCGGCUAACUCCGUGCCAGCAGCCGCGGUAAGACGGAGGAUGCAAGUGUUAUCCGGAAUCACUGGGCGUAAAGCGUCUGUAGGUGGUUUGAUAAGUCAACUGUUAAAUCUUGAAGCUCAACUUCAAAAUCGCAGUCGAAACUAUCAGACUAGAGUAUAGUAGGGGUAAAGGGAAUU